UACAGAGGUCUCAAGCGUUGUUCGGAUUCAUUGGGCGUAAAGGGUGCGUAGGCGGCGCGGUAAGUCGGGUGUGAAAUCUCGGAGCUUAACUCCGAAACUGCAUUCGAUACUGUGGUGCUAGAGGACUGGAGAGGAAACUGGAAUUCACGGUGUAGCAGUGAAAUGCGUAGAUAUCGUGAGGAAGACCUGUGGCGAAGGCGGGUUUCUGGACAGUACCUGACGCUGAGGCACGAAGGCCAGGGGAGCAAACGGG
rnacentral:rRNA from 1 species